rnacentral:rRNA from 1 species
AUGGUGAAAUGGGCAGACAUUUGCCUCCCCAAAGAUCGAGGCAGCCUCGAGAUCACCGACUCUCGCCGCAUGAAUAUAGCUCUUAUGAUGCAUUGGGUUUGGAGGAUUUUGCGUGGCGAUGGAGGUCUUUGGCUACAGCUCCUUGAGGUGAAAUAUCUUCGAGGAGAACCCUUGCUGGCUUGCUCUCGCUCCGCUGGUUCCCAGUUCUAG